rnacentral:rRNA from 1 species
GCUGGCGGCGUGCUUAACACAUGCAAGUCGAACGGUGAAGCUCCAGCUUGCUGGGGUGGAUGAGUGGCGAACGGGUGAGUAACACGUGAGUAACCUGCCCCCUUCUUCUGGAUAACUGCCUGAAAGGGUAGCUAAUACGGGAUAUUCUGGCCUGCUCGCAUGGGUGGGUUUGGAAAGGUUUUUUCUGGUGGGGGAUGGGCUCGCGGCCUAUCAGCUUGUUGGUGGGGUGAUGGCCUACCAAGGCGGUGACGGGUAGCCGGCCUGAGAGGGUGGACGGCCACACUGGGACUGAGACACGGCCCAGACUCCUACGGGAGGCAGCAGUGGGGAAUAUUGCACAAUGGGCGCAAGCCUGAUGCAGCGACGCCGCGUGAGGGAUGGAGGCCUUCGGGUUGUAAACCUCUUUCGCCAGUGAAGCAGGCCGCCUCCUUGUGGGGUGGUUGACGGUAGCUGGAUAAGAAGCGCCGGCUAACUACGUGCCAGCAG